CAGCCGCCGCGGGAAUACGAAGGGGGCUAGCGUUGUUCGGAUUUACUGGGCGUAAAGCGCACGUAGGCGGAUCGAUCAGUCAGGGGUGAAAUCCCAGAGCUCAACUCUGGAACUGCCUUUGAUACUGUCGAUCUGGAGUAUGGAAGAGGUGAGUGGAAUUCCGAGUGUAGAGGUGAAAUUCGUAGAUAUUCGGAGGAACAUCAGUGGCGAAGGCGGCUCACUGGUCCAUUACUGACGCUGAGGUGCGAAAGCGUGGGGAGCAAACAGGAUUAGAGACCCCAGUAGUCCCUGUCUCUUAUAA
rnacentral:rRNA from 1 species